AUGUCGAGGCCGCCGCCCCCUUUCACGCCGCAAAACCCUACCCCGGCCCCCAACCCUGGGGGUCCGGCCUCCACUCUCCCGGCUUCCUUCUCCAACCUCCAGAUCUCGCGCGCUCCACCGCCAUCUGCUUCCGCCGGGCCGCCGCCAGGUGAUGGCCCCGUGCCGUCGUCGAUCCGAGGUCCGCAGGCACCCCCUCCUGGCGCCCGCCCGUUCCCUGGCAGUCCGCCGCCGCCGUUGCAGCCGGGCUCGCUCUUCGCCCGGCCUGCGGCGCCGGUCCAGCAGUCCCCUCCCUUUGGCGGUCCACCCGCGGCGUCGCUCCAGCAGUCCCCUCCCUUUGGCGGCCCACCCGCUGCGCAGCCGUUGCAGCCGCAGCAGAGAUCUCCCUUCAACGGCCCGCCGUCCGUGCUGCCGCCGCAGGUGCAGCGAGCACCGUUCGGAGGUCCGCCUGGGGCAUCCCAGGCUCGUCCGUUCGGUGGCCCGCCUGCUGCGGUGUCGCAGCCUGGCCCUUUCGGUGGCUCUUCUGUAGCAACAGCUCAAUCAGCUCCGUAUUCAGGAGCUCCGCCACCACCGUUUGGCGGGCCGCCUGGGGCAGUGCCUCUCCCGGCGUACUCCGGAGGGCCGAUCCCCCCGUUUGGGGCUGCACCGGCGCCCUUGCAGCAGGGUCCUUAUGGCGGGCCUCCCCAGUUUGGGGGGCAGAGACCAGGAUUGCAGCCUCCGCCAUUUGGGGCUCAGACUGCUCCUGCAUCUCAGCCACCACCGUUCAUGGGGGUUCCUGGGGCUAAUGCACCAGCAUUUGGGCCUCCAGGGUGGCAAGGGCAGGCACGGCCAGGAGCCGUGAGAAUGCCUGGUGGCAUGCCGCCUAAUGCACUAGGCCACGGGAUGCCGUCCACGCCCACCAUGCCAUACUCUCCCCAUGCUGGAGCCCAGGUCUCUACGCCAUCCAAUAUUGACCCUAAUCAGAUUCCGCGUCCUAUCGCCGAGACAUCAGUCAUCAUUUUUGAGACCCGGCAAGGUGGCCAAGCAGCUGUUCCACCGGCUGCAUCAAGUGAAUUUAUUGUGAAGGACACCGGCAACUGCAGUCCCCGUUUGAUGCGGUGCACCUUGAAUCAGAUACCAUGUACAGGUGAUCUCCUGACAACAUCAGCAAUGCCAUUGGCUUUAAUGGUGCAACCUUUUGCUCUUCCUCAUCCUUCCGAGGAGGCUAUCCAGCUCGUGGAUUUUGGAGAGAUGGGCCCUGUCAGGUGUUCUCGCUGCAAAGCAUACAUAAAUCCUUUCAUGAGAUUCGUUGAUCAAGGGAAAAUUUUCAUCUGCAACUUAUGUGGAUUUAGCAAUGAUACUCCAAGGGAGUACUUGUGCAACUUAGGGCCUGAUGGUAGGCGACGUGAUGCUGAUGAUAGGCCUGAGUUAUGCAGAGGAACAGUUGAGUUCAUUGCCACCAAGGAAUUUCUGGUCCGGGAACCAAUGCCAGCUGUGUAUUUCUUCCUUGUUGAUGUCUCCAUGAAUGCCGUACAGACUGGUGUAACUGCUGCGUCUUGCAGUGCAAUAUCCCAGGUUCUUUCUGAUCUUCCUGAAGGUCCCCGAACGAUGGUUGGAAUUGCGACAUUUGAUUCAACUAUUCACUUCUAUAGUCUGAAAAAUGCUCGACAACAGCCUUUGAUGUUUAUUGUUCCCGACAUCCAAGAUGUGUAUACUCCACUUCAGAUGGACUUAAUUCUCCCAGUUUCCGAGUGCCGUGAUAGUUUGGAGCAACUUCUGGAGAGCAUCCCCAGCAUGUUUGAGAACAAUAGGGUUGCUGAUUCAGCAUUUGGGGCAGCUAUGAAGGCAGGUUUCUUAGCUAUGAAGCCCACUGGUGGAAAGUUGCUUGUGUUUCAGUCAGUGCUACCAUCAGUUGGGACUGGCUCAUUAUCUGCAAGGGAAACUGAAGCUAGAUCUAAUAUUUCCACUGGAGAUAAGGAAGCACAUAAGCUCCUGCAGCCUGUUGAUAAGACACUCAAGACAAUGGCACUAGAAUUUGCUGAGUAUCAAGUUUGUGUGGAUGUGUUCCUUGCCACACAGUCAUACACAGAUAUUGCUUCGAUAUCAGUUGUUCCCAGUACCACCGGUGGCAGGGUUUACUACUACUUCCCAUUUUCUGCUGUUUCUGAUCCAGCCAAACUCUUCAAUGAUCUCAGAUGGAAUAUCACUAAACCCCAGGGAUUUGAGGCUGUCAUGCGUGUCAGGUGCAGUCAGGGGCUUCAAGUUCAAGACUAUUCUGGCAACUUCUGCAAGCGUGUUCCUACUGAUAUUGAUUUGCCUGCUAUUGACUCCGACAAAACCAUAAUGGUUACCUUCAAGCAUGAUGAUAAGUUUCAGGAGAACACAGAAUGUGGUUUUCAGUGCGCACUUCUUUACACCACGGUAUAUGGGCAAAGAAGGAUAAGGGUCAUAAAUAUUUCACUUCCAUGCACAAGCACGCUCAACAAUCUUUUCCGAUAUGCUGAUCAGGAAGCACAGUUUACUUAUGUUGUUAAGCAAGCUGCAAAUGGCAUUCCAUCAAGUUCUCUGUCCCAAGUUAGGGACCAGGUAAUAAGUACCUGCAUCAAUAUUCUCCAGUCCUACCGAAAACAUUGUGCAUCUGUAAGUUCUUCUGGACAGUUAAUUCUUCCGGAGGCUUUAAAACUUCUGCCUUUGUAUACUCUGGCCUUGAUUAAAAGCAUAGGACUGAGGAAUGAUGGGAGAGUAGACGACCGGUCCUAUUGGGUCUCUAUUGUCUCCUCAGUUUCUGUGUUAUUAGCCAUUCCAUUGGUGUUCCCUAGGAUGAUUGCUCUCCAUGAUCUCACAUCAAGGGAUGAUGAGGAUUCCCUUAUUCCAAAUCCCCUUACUCUCAAUAGUGAGAAUAUACAGGAUGAUGGGAUUUAUUUGUUGGAAAAUGGCGAGGAUGGUUUUAUUUAUGUCGGAAAUGCGGUGAACCCUGCCACCCUGGAGCAAAUAUUUGGUUUCUCAUCUUUGGCUGGUGCACCAAAUCUGUUGGCAUUGGAGCAAUUUGAUAAUGCAUUGUCCAGGAAAGUGAAUGAAGUUGUGAACGAAAUAAGGCGACAGAGAUGCUCUUACUUGAGACUGAGACUCUGCCGAAAGGGCGACCCAUCUGGGGAUUUCUUCCGUUCGCUGCUGGUCGAGGACAAAACACCUGGUGGCCUUUCCUAUGUGGAGUUCCUCGUGCAUGUUCACAGGCAAAUCCAGAGCAAGAUGACCUGA
rnacentral:rRNA from 1 species